CGCUUUUGUAAUUUCAUGUUGUGAUGUUAUUAAGGUUUGUUCAGACGUAAGGUUUUUAAAGGUUGAUAAGUCAUAAUAAUGGAGUCAGUUUUUUCUCGAAAGAAAACUUAACGUAUUUUUUUUUUGUUUUUGGUCAUAUUCUUUAUUCGUUGCUAGUUUCCCCACUUUCUUUCAUUUUCCAUUUGAUAAAAAAAUUUAUAAAUUGAAAUAAUAGUGGUUUUCAAACUUAAUCACAUUAUUCAUAUUUGCAAAUAUG
rnacentral:lncRNA from 1 species